ACGAACGCUGGCGGCGUGCUUAACACAUGCAAGUCGAACGCUGAAGCUCAGCUUUUGUUGGGUGGAUGAGUGGCGAACGGGUGAGUAACACGUGAGUAACCUGCCCCCUUCUUUGGGAUAACGCCCGGAAACGGGUGCUAAUACUGGAUAUUCACUGGUCUUCGCAUGGGGGUUGGUGGAAAGGGUUUUUCUGGUGGGGGAUGGGCUCGCGGCCUAUCAGCUUGUUGGUGGGGUGAUGGCCUACCAAGGCUUUGACGGGUAGCCGGCCUGAGAGGGUGACCGGUCACAGUGGGACUGAGAUACGGCCCAGACUCCUACGGGAGGCAGCAGUGGGGAAUAAUGCACAAUGGGCGCAAGCCUGAUGCAGCGACGCCGCGUGAGGGAUGGAGGCCUUCGGGUUGUGAACCUCUUUCGCUCAUGGUCAAGCCGCAACAAUGGUUGUGGUGAGGGUAGUGGGUAAAGAAGCGCCGGCUAACUACGUG
rnacentral:rRNA from 1 species